rnacentral:rRNA from 1 species
UGGGGAAUUUUGGACAAUGGGGGAAACCCUGAUCCAGCCAUCCCGCGUGUGCGAUGAAGGCCUUCGGGUUGUAAAGCACUUUUGGCAGGUAAGAAACGUCAUGGGUUAAUACCCCGUGAAACUGACGGUACCUGCAGAAUAAGCACCGGCUAACUACGUGCCAGCAGCCGCGGUAAUACGUAGGGUGCAAGCGUUAAUCGGAAUUACUGGGCGUAAAGCGUGCGCAGGCGGUUCGGAAAGAAAGAUGUUAAAUCCCAGAGCUCAACUUUGUAACUGCAUUUUUAACUACCGGGCUAGUGGGUGUCAGAGGUAGGUGGAAUUCCUCGUGUAGCAGGGAAAUGCGUGGAUAUGCGGGGGAACACCGAUGGCGAAGGCAGCCUCCUGGUAUAACACUGACGCUAAUGCACGAAAGCGUGGGGAGCAAACAGG